ACAAAAAAAUUGAAAAGAAAAAAUAAAAUAAAAUAAAAAUAAAGGCGGAAACCAGGUAAACUCGCCUUCGCGCACAACUCACUCACCAAUGCAAACUUCGAUGUGACCACCGCCUCAUCUUCCCCUCCCUUUCAAUUCCCCGAUUUAAUGGCCCUCCGAUUCUACCCCUCCCCUUCGCUAGAUCUUCAAGCGGCGGCGAUGUGACGAGGCGGGCCUUGACGGAUCUGAAGAGGUGGAGCGGAUGAUGCCGCCGGCGAGCGAGGAGUGGAUGAUUCCGUCGACGAGACGCAGAGGAUGGAGAGGGAGACUCGGCGGAUCGCGCCGCCGCGAGAGGAAAAGCUGGGUUUCGAUAAUAGUAGCAGUCAUGGGUCGUGAAUUAGGCAUGUGGUCAUACGGAUUUUGGAUGACAGCGAACCUUGAAAUUUGGUUAUUCAUGUCCUGCUCAUGGUGAUUGAUUACUAGGAAAUUUUCGGUCUUUUUUUUAUCCAAUAACCAAGAAGCAUUGAUGGAAACAAAAGCACUGUAUGUUGCUCAAAUUAGUUACUCAUUUCCUUUUCAGGGAGAAAAGCAUUGCUGGUUUCAAUUCCUCUGGAUUGUCUUUAUUGAUAUACUAGUAACAUGUUGGUUGGAAGGUCAACUAAGGCAUUGUCAGGAGGAGCCAGGAUUGAGUACAUUUUCCAGGAGACAGGAGACAGCCUUUACUAUCAUGUUUGAUUUAGGCAAAUUCUGCGAAGAGUCAAAUCGGCAAAUUCUGCUUUUGAUUGUAAUAGUUCUGGUGUCUUUAUAGAACCAUUUGUUCAGAUUAAGACUAACAGUGUUCAAAAGUGUUCUUGUUCGCUCAUUGAUGGCUUAGAUGCUUGGAUUCUGGAUCAGAUAUCUCUGUGUUUGUUGAUCUACUGUUGCAGAAGGUUAUUCUGAGGUAACAUUUGAGACUAGUAAUACACAUAUUUGAGAUUUGGUAUCUG